rnacentral:rRNA from 1 species
AGUCGAGCGGGGAGAGGUAGCUUGCUACCUGACCUAGCGGCGGACGGGUGAGUAAUGCUUAGGAAUCUGCCUAUUAGUGGGGGACAACAUUCCGAAAGGAAUGCUAAUACCGCAUACGCCCUACGGGGGAAAGCAGGGGAUCUUCGGACCUUGCGCUAAUAGAUGAGCCUAAGUCAGAUUAGCUAGUUGGUGGGGUAAAGGCCUACCAAGGCGACGAUCUGUAGCGGGUCUGAGAGGAUGAUCCGCCACACUGGGACUGAGACACGGCCCAGACUCCUACGGGAGGCAGCAGUGGGGAAUAUUGGACAAUGGGCGAAAGCCUGAUCCAGCCAUGCCGCGUGUGUGAAGAAGGCCUUUUGGUUGUAAAGCACUUUAAGCGAGGAGGAGGCUACUUGGAUUAAUACUCUAGGAUAGUGGACGUUACUCGCAGAAUAAGCACCGGCUAACUCUGUGCCAGCAGCCGCGGUAAUACAGAGGGUGCGAGCGUUAAUCGGAUUUACUGGGCGUAAAGCGUGCGUAGGCGGCUUCUUAAGUCGGAUGUGAAAUCCCUGAGCUUAACUUAGGAAUUGCAUUCGAUACUGGGAAGCUAGAGUAUGGGAGAGGAUGGUAGAAUUCCAGGUGUAGCGGUGAAAUGCGUAGAGAUCUGGAGGAAUACCGAUGGCGAAGGCAGCC